UUCUUCUUCCAGAACAGUUCGCUGCCUGACAAUAGUUUAGUGGGUGGCAUUUUAUAAAAGUAAGUAAGGCUUAUUUAAAUGUGUUGAAAUGAAAUCAAUACUCCUUGUUUCUAAUUUCACAAUAGUAAAAUCAGAUGUCUUGGGAUUUUUAUACCACUAACUAAACAGCAAGUACAUUUUCAAUCAAGGCUUACUCUAAUGACAUUAGCAUAUGCAUACAUACUCUGAAUAACAAACAUAAAAGAUUUUGUUAAAAUAUAUUGAAUCUGUAAAGAUAUUUUAAAUAUUUUGUGGGCCAGUCUAUAUGAUUCUUAGAAUUAAUAUGCAAAAGCUGGACAAUGUAUGUAUAAGUUACAUAUGUACAAGAUAAUGUAUGUAUUUAAAAAAAACCCAAACUGUAUGCAUAAACUAUUAAUGAAAAUAUUGAAAGAAUUUUGAGGUAAAACACAUAGAGAAGAAGAUUAAUUAAGUUUUCAAAAUGGUAAAAUGUAUUUAAAGAAGAAACCUUUAAUAAUUUCUUUGUUUUCAGUAUGAUGCAGAAGAUAUUUGACUGCCUUUUUUCUGAUAUGAUUAAAAUAAAUACAUGUUUCCAUUUCCAGAAUCACCUAGAUAUUGUCAAAAUACUGAAUGCUUCAAAAUAAUAUAAAUUUUAUGCCACUAUUAAAAUGCUGAUUUACGUAUCAGCAUAAAACACAAAACAGUUAUCUGGAGUUGUGACUAUCAACUGCCACUGAGAAAAUAUUCUACACCGAUGAGAAAUUCUAAAUAGGGCACAUGUUGACUCCCUUGACAUCUUACUGUAUGAUUUAGAUCAGCAGCAAUCAGGGAAAGAUGUAUGGGAUGGCAGGUGAUUUGUAGGAUCUGAAGUAAUUUGGACAGUUCUUGAGUCAGCAAGCAGUAACCAUCAAUACAACUAAUCAAAUAAUGUAGUAUUUUUGUAGUAGCGGUAUUAUAUGUCAUAUGUGGUAGUAUUGUAUCACAAUAAAAGUAGUUCUUGUACAAGUUAGUGACUUUAAGUCCUAGAGUUGAGGUCAUGGACUCACAUUACAUGUUGUUUAUAUUCAAAUAAUUCUGCGUGAUUGAUCAUGCUUUUAUUUAUGUUCAGAAUAAAACACUUACAGGAGAUUUAGUUGAAGACUACAGAAGAGGUGGUCCUAAGUUAGUGGUUUCCAAAACUGACUAUCCAACUUUGAGUCUUCUCAGCAGUUUUUAUAGAUAUUUAUUUCCCAGCUCCUUCUUAAGCUCACUGACUCAAAAUAUCUGAAAGAGGGCUCUGGAGCCAAUAUUAAAAUAUGUAACAAAGAAAACUUCCCUACAAGAUUUGCACUCAUAGCCAAAUUUUAGAAACAUUAAGCUAGAAUGGACUUCCUUGCACAGUAUGUGUUUUCUAUCUUCAUUGCAUGCAGGCUUCUGUGUAUGAUGCAUACAAACAUGAGGGAGGGGACAUAUUAGAUUUAAAAUUAUUUCAAAUGCUUACUGGGAAAUAAUGAUGAUGAUUAACAUUGUUAUCAUCACCAUCUUUAUUUCAUAUUUUUAUUUUGUUCCUUUUAGCUUAAACAUCUGAUUUGUGGAAAUAUCCUAAAGUAUUUCCCAGCAGCAUUGCCCAGCUAAAAUGGAAUUGUGUAUAACUGUCAAAUGGGCUACAAAAACUAUUCUUUGAUGUUUCAUGUUUUAUUCAUUAUUUUACCAUAGCACUGUAUUUAUAAUCCCAUUCAUAGUGCUAAACUGAAGAAAGAAAGUAAUAGCUGGAAAAUCAUUAUUUUUGAAAAAAAUAGUGAAAGGGUUAGGGAAGGGUCAAAAUCAUUUAAGAUUUUAGAUAUUAAAAACAAUUACUCCUAUAUGAAAAAGUAUGGAUAUUGUUGUAGAUUUGCUUCUGCCAUUCUAAGUUUAUAAUUCAUUCAUUUUGUUCUGAUUAUAAUAUUGAUUAAAGUUAUUUAAUUAUUAAUAGUUACUUUUGUACUUAAAACGUUACACAGUUAAAUGGUAAAAUUUGCCUUUUUAAGACAAGUAUGUUAAAUUAUCUGACCAAAAAAAAUCCUGUAUUAUUAAAAAUGAGGCUAAUACCAGAAUUCUAACUAUAACAGAAAAUGCUCAUAAAUGAGCAUGGGUAAGUGCUCUGAAUUGUAUGUUAAGUUUGUACCCACACUCUUGCCCUUGAACCAGUUUGUAAUUAAUCACAUUCAUCUGGCAUGAAUUCACAAGCUGCUCACCUCUUCAGAAGGUGGUACGUUAGCUUGUACAAUCGGGCCAAAUCAAAAGUGAUACAAGAAUCAUCCAAAUUCUGAUAUUUCAGAGGAGAUACUAGGAAUCAUGUAUCUAUAUUCAAAGUUCUAUAUUCAAAGUUGAUGCUGCCAGAAAAUCUACUGAGUCCUCCUCUCCACAUUUUUUUAGACUUAAUCUGGUUCAUACAUCUCCUCACUCUGCAGUCAGAUUGCCCUCUCACCCUCAGCAGGACCCCACAUCCCACAUUACUGGCAAAGUGAAGAGGAUUCAAGGUACUUUCUUCCCACUGAAUAAGUGGUUCUCUCCUCUUAGUUUUUUAGGAGUGUGCUUAUGUGCCUCUUAUUCAUUCAAUAGCCUAUGGUAGAAGUUGUGUUAUCUUCAAGUUUGUAACCACGCAUUUUUUUACUUUAUUAAAUUUCAAAUGUUUGAAACUCUAGCAUAAUUCCAUUAAGAUAAGUAUGAUCUGGUAUUAAUAGAAAACAGUGUAAAAUUUUUGGCUACUGAACUUUUUUUGAGGUAAUACUUUGAUUUUUUUUCUAAUUUAUUGAAAAAUUAUUUGUCUACUCUGAUCACCUAUUUGCAUUCAUUUUGGACACAUAGGAGAUUCUGCAAUCACAAAAUCACUGCCUUCACAUAGCUUAUAUUCUUGUGGGAGUAAGCAGACAAUGACAAACAAAUUGGAAGAGUAAGGGAAAAGUGUUAAUUUUAAAUAGGAUCGUCAAAGAAAGCCUCACCCCAAAGGUACCAUUUAAAUGAAGAUCCUGUGGCAGGCAGCUCCUUGGUUACCUGCUCUCUGUACUCAUUUUCCCCUCAUUUCUGCACACAUGGUUGUCCAAAUAUAGGCUACCUUUUCUAACUACCCUGGUAACACUAUGCAACUGUUUGCAAUGAAAUAUACGUAGAAGCAAUCUGUGAAAAUUUAACUCUAAUUUAUUUAAAAGGAAAUACCUUUGACCUAGACUUUUCUUUUUAUUCAUAUCCAUUCAUGCAGAUGGCAACAGUGCUCAAAGGGAAGGAAGAUAAUUAAAAUGGAAGACAGAGCCAUCAAAAACCAUGUGGAGGAAAGUCACUACAUGAGCCUAGACUGAAAGAAUGUACACAGGCAGAUAUAAAUGCCUAUUUCAUUUAACGUAUUUUGCUUAGGAUCUCCUUGUUAUAAAACCUUGGCUUUUGGUCAAAUAACACAGACCAGUAAGAAAUGAGGUUGGAAGAUGGGAAUAUUUAGGAGCAGUAGGAAUGAAUGCAGGCCACAAUGUUGCACUUAUUAUGGUAAUUAAAUAACCAGGAGAGAAGUAACUAAUGAGAGAGAGUGAGCAGAAGGCUUAGAUCCAACUAAAUCAAUGGGUAAGAUUUUCCACUAUACAAUAUAUUUUUUGUAAAUGUUAAUGGGAAUUUUCCUUCUAACAUUUGAAUAACUGUUCUAGAAACUAUGAAAUAAUUACUUACAACUGGCUCAUAUACCUUAUUUUUCAAAAUUGCCACAUUAACUUAUUGGAAGUUUCACCUCCUUUUAAAUCAUGAAAAAUACGCAGUUGCAACACAGACUUAAUCAUGGGUUGAACGAAUAUAUUCUCCUAGCUUUUUCUCAUUACUGAGCUGCAGAGAGGAAAACUUCUUGGCAGACUGAUACUUCUCAACAUAGUUUUUACAAUUCCUGAAUGCCCUAAUUCUGAGGUAGAACGUGAAUUGGAUGCCUGGCUGUGAGUUUAUAUGAACGCCAGCACGGCUGACUGCAGGGUUUCUCUGCAUGUCUCCUUUGCUUGUUCUCUCAGGACUUGUCUUCCAGUAACUAUGUGAAUAGAAGAGGCAAUUUCACUAAAUAAAAUAUUAUCACUCAUUUCACCCAGUUCUAGAAUCAGAGUAAACUUGGAACAUUAUUUAAAUGGACUAAAAUGUUCAUUGUCUGAUGCUGUGAGUUGCUUUUAACAGGAAUGUUUAUAAGACAGUUUUUAUUAAUGCCAUUUCUUUAUUCAAUAAGGCUCUCCUGACACCAGUUCUUGAACUAUAAAUGUGUUUGGAUUCCCAGAGGUUUUUACACUCUACUAACAUUUAUGAUUUGUGAGAGCAGAUUAGUUUCAGGAACUAGUACAUGUUGAAGUAGAGGAUUUAAAGACUAUCCAUGAUUAAAUGUCUCUUUGCAAGAUACCCGUUCCCUGAGGGGCAUGCAUCAUGCACAGGAAAACCACAGGAUCUGCGAAAUGCAAGAUGACCCAACUUCCAACAGUGUUAAUCAAUGGAGUAGUCAUGAAUUACUAUGUACUCAAUUAAACUUUGUUGCAAAAAUCAUGAUCUUUAAAGCCUUUUUCCAUUCUGUCUGUAUAUUCUGUCUUUUAAUGUAACACUUUAUGUUUUAUCCAUAUAAUUUUCCCUUCAUCAGAGAUAUACUUCCCUUGCUAUCUUGACUUGAAUGCUCAUUUCAUUCAUUGCCAGUUUCAAUGGCAUGGGAAAAUGCUAAAUGUAAGUAUUAUUGGAUAUACACAAACACACACACACACACACACACACACACACACUUUGAUCAUUGGUAUGUUUUGGCUUGCUUUAUUUCUUGCUGUGUUCUGGAUAAUCCAAGGGAUCCUCUUUUAGGUAGCCUAGCAACAAUCUGACUUAGCAGAAAGGGAUGCAAAGUCUUUGAUGUGAUAACUACCUCGGAAAGUGGUGAUCAACAACAGGAUAAAUGUGUCCAGGCACACAAGAAUCUAGAGCACGGUCCCCAACGCCUGGGCCACAGACCAGUAAUGAUCCAUGAUCUGUUAGAAACCUGGCCACACAACAAGACGUUAGCAGCAGGCAAGCAAGCAAAGCUUUAUCGGUAUUUACAGCCACUCUGCAUCGCCUGCAUUACCACCUGAGCUCUGCCUCCUGUCAGAUCAGUGGUGGCAUUAGAUUCUCUCAGGAGCACGAACCCUAUAGUGAACUGCACAUGCAAGGGAUCUCAGUGGCACACUCCCUAUGACAGUCUAAUGCCUGAUGAUCUGUCACUGUCUCCCAUCACUCCCAGAUGGGACCACCUAGUUGCAGAAAAACAAGCUCAUGGCUCCCACUGAUACUACAUUAUGGGGAGUUAUGUAAUUAUUUUAUUAUAUAUUGCAAUGUAAUAAUAAUAGAAAUAAAGUGCACAAUAAAUGGAAUGCUCUCGAGUCAUUCCGAAACCAUCUCUGCUCCUAUUGGCGGAAAUACUGUCUUCCACGAAACCGGUUCCUGGUGCCAAAAAGGUUGGGGAUUGCUGAUCUAGAAGAUGGCUAUGAUAAUGAAGGCGACUGGUUUUUUCAACUUUCUUUCUGAGAAGAGGCACCCAACCAGCCACAAGGAUUGUUAAGAACAAGAAAUAAAGACAUUAUACUUUGGGUGGAUUUGCUACCAUCACUUUUCUUAUCAUAAGCAAAACAAGAAAUAUUCCUUUGCUUCUGCAUCUGCAUCAAUAUUCUUCUGUUUUGUGUGUAAGCACAAUUAAAAGCAGUAUGCACUCUCUAUAUAAAAUAUUCUCAUAAUAUUUUACAGUAUUUUUUUUAUUAUGAUCCUUCUCAUACCAAUAAAACUGGAAAAUAAUGGAGUAAACAUUCAGUUCAACCUUUAAGGGGUGGUGAAGGAGAAAACUGUGCUACAGAAUAUUGGAUGUUAACAAUAUAGAAGAAUAGGAGAUUGAUGAAAUAAAUUAGAAUAUAAAGGUAGAAUUGAUCAAUAAAUUUUAGAUUAUUAUCUUUGAAAAGAAAAUUGAACACACUCAAACUCAUAGCCCCUUACCUCAGUUUCAUCCCUAAGGCUGCCCAAUUCAAUCCUGUGGUUUGAGAUGCAGCAGGCAUACCUGCUAGGGUGAAGAAUUCUUUCCAACUAGUAUCUGAGCGCAAGUAGUCUUAAGAUCUCGUAUUUCUAUACAUGACACUAUUUCCCAAAAUUAUCCUCCAAAGUACAGUCUUGCCAUAGGAAAGCCUGAAAUAAUGGUUUGCAUCAGAAGAAAUCUCCAGGAAGCCUGAAAUAAUGGUUUUCAUCAGAAGAAAUCUCCAGAGACCUCUCCAUACAGUGCCCACAGAAGAGGAGAUAGCUGUUUCCAGUUUGGGGUUAUUAUAAAUAAAGCUGCUAUGAAUAUUUAUGUUAAAUUUUGUGGGAACAUGUGGUUUCACUUUUCAGGGAUAGAUGUCAUAAGAGUGCAAUUGUUGCAUUGCAUGAAAAGCACUUGUUUGUUUGGAUUUUUUAAGAAAAAUCAUAUGAUUUUCCAGAGUGGCUGAAUUGUUUUUCAUCCCUACCACCAAUGUAUGCGCAAUCCAGUUGCUCUGCGUCAUUACCAAUAUUUGGUUUUAUCACUAGUUCUUAUGUAACCAUUCUGAUAGGUAUGUUGUUUUAGAGAAGAAAUCAUCACUUAAGAAUGAUUUUGUGAAAGAAGGAUCUGAAUCAUGUAAGCUUCAGAGAUCUGUGUAUUAACUACAGCUGGGCUUGGUAUGCUGUAUCAGCUUGCUUCCUUUAUCAAGCCUUAUGAUGCUAUUUAAUUUCCAAAGUUCCUUUUGAGCAGGCUUGUCUAUGUCUUUUCCUUGUUAUCCUGAGAUUCCAGGGAGGACUGUGUGUGUGUGUGUGUGUGUGUACACAUGCAUAUGUGCACAUGCACACACAUACAUGUGUGCACUUGUGUGGGCCAUAGAUUAUGCACUCCUGAUAGUACAAGAAUGGUGAUGUUAUGGAUACAUUCUGGCUUAAAGUACAAAAUCACCUUUACUUAUUUUUCUCACUUUUUAAAAAUUUUUUGCCAAGUCUUAUGUAUCUAAUUUUCUUGAUGUCUAUUAACAUGUUUCUUCCCUUGCGUCUUCAGUCACUGACAUAAGUUAGAUUCUUAUUUUUCUUACUGCACUAUUGCUUCUUAUUCUUCCUGUUUUAUUCAAUGUUUUGAUCAAUUCAUGAAUGCCUACUGUACCUUGAAUCAUAUCACACACAUAUCUAUAAGCUUCCAAUAAUAUUUGUUUUCUGCAUAGUUAAGUAAAAGUAAUUUCCCUUUGGAAUAUUCUUUAAUGUCACUAUUUUGUCUUAAAAUCCUCAUACUGACUUUUCUCUCCACAUUGUGCUCUCAGCUUGGAUUACUUACUUCUACGGAAGCACUCCACUGCUUUCCUAUCUGAACGCUUUCACUUACCUGUUCCUUUCUGAACGAUUUUACUCUAUAUCUUCCUAUGAAAUCCUGCCAGUUCUCAAAGUCCUUUGCUAAUGCCAAUUUUAUUUCUAAAUUCCAGUAACAUCUUAUCUAUAUAUUUUUAAACCCUAUACUAUUAUGUUUUUCACUUAUCUUACAGCUCCAAUGAGCUCCUUGAGAACAGAGGUAGAUUACACCCCAUGUUGUGUCCCACCUGUAUUAUUCUGCUCAGGCUGCCACAACAAAAACCACAGACUUGGGGCCUUACACAACAGAAAUUUGUUUCUCACAGUUCUGGGAUCUGGGAAGUCCGAGACCAAGGUGCUGGCCAAUUAGGUACCUUGUACAGCCUCUUUUCCUGGCCUGUGGACAGCAGCCUUCUUGCUGUGUCCUCAUACGGUGGGGACAGAGCAAACAACCUUCCUGCUGUGUCUUCUUGUAAGGGCACUACAGUCCCAUCAUGAUGGGCCCAUCCAUCCUCAUGACCUAAUCUAAACCUAAUUACCUCCCAAAGGCCUGAACCCCAGUUAUUAUCACACUGAGGAUUAGGCUUCCACAUAUGAAUUCAGGAUUGGGGAGCACAAUUCAGUUCAUACCACAAUGUGUUAUUGAACACAGUGCUUUGAACUGUGCUUUGAACACAGAAACUACAUAAUAAUUUCUCAAUAAAUACUUGUCAAACUGACUUGUAAUAGAAACCCUUUCAAAAGACAAAUGAGAGAAAUGGUGGUAAUAAAAAUUAUCUUGAUUUCCAGUUCCCUUCUAUAGCAGCUACACACACACACAGAGAGAGAGAGAGAGAGAGAGAGAGAGCGCAAGAGAGCUAAAGAUAUAAAAGAAACUGAGCAAACAAUUCUCACAUCAAGGAUUCUCGAGUAGAAAUCAGCCCAGCAUUAAACUAAACAGGUAAAGAGAGGAUACUGACAUAACAAUUUUUUUAAAUCACAUUUGAAUUCACAAUAUUGUGUGGAUUCACUUAAUGAUUUCUUUAGAAAGAUUAACUACUUGGAAAGAUUACUAUAAUAAAAAUAUGCUUAUAAGUGAAAAGCAGGAGAAGUUAACUAUUUUGCAAAACAAUUGUUAUUGAAUCUAUGUAGAUAAGCUCAACUUUAUCUGCUCUGGCAAAAUGCAGUGCUGACUUAAGUAACUGUAAGUAUACCAAUGUUUAGACUAUUUAGUAUCCAAAAGCUUUUUC
rnacentral:lncRNA from 1 species